UUACAGUACUUACCCUUGUGGGCCUAUGGAUUAGUGGUCUAAACGAAUUGGAGAAAAUACCGUCCGUAUGACUUUGGAUACUACCGUCCGCUGAGCAUUACAGAAGGUCUACAUUAUAUUAUCCUGUUGAUUGCCAUUACGGAAUAUCGGCUUCUUCCUGUCUUUAUACGCCUUGUGCAUUACCGGUAUUUCUCCUUGACAUCGGCAGCAGGAAGAUCUUUCAUUACAAAUAUAUGAGAAUUCUUACCGGUAUUCCACCAAAACGCAAGUUAUAUCCACAAGAGCACCGUUCAAGGCUAAGGAUCUCUGUUUCUAGAUGACAAAUUUAAGAUUUUGUUUUUUCGAUUUCGUCGGCGAUAUUACGUACGGUACC